AUGGGGGGACCAUCCUCCAAGGCUAAAUACUCCUAAUUGACCGAUAGUGAACCAGUACCGUGAGGGAAAGGCGAAAAGAACCCCUGUGAGGGGAGUGAAAUAGAACCUGAAACCGUGUACGUACAAGCAGUAGGAGCGGACGAAAGUUCCGUGACUGCGUACCUUUUGUAUAAUGGGUCAACGACUUAAUUUCAGUAGCAAGGUUAACCGUAUAGGGGAGCCGUAGGGAAACCGAGUCUUAACUGGGCGAAUAGUUGCUGGGAUUAGACCCGAAACUUGGUGAUCUAGCCAUGAGCAGGUUGAAGGUUGGGUAACACUAACUGGAGGACCGAACCCACUAAUGUUGAAAAAUUAGGGGAUGACUUGUGGCUGGGGGUGAAAGGCCAAUCAAACCAAGAGAUAGCUGGUUCUCCUCGAAAGCUAUUUAGGUAGCGCCUCGUGUAUCACUGUUGGGGGUAGAGCACUGUUUGGGCUAGGGGGUCAUCCCGACUUACCAACCCCAUGCAAACUCCGAAUACCAACAAGUGCAAUCACGGGAGACACACGGCGGGUGCUAACGUCCGUCGUGGAAAGGGAAACAACCCAGACCGCCAGCUAAGGUCCCAAAGUAUAUGUUAAGUGGGAAACGAUGUGGAAAGGCUUAGACAGCUAGGAAGUUGGCUUAGAAGCAGCCAUCUUUUAAAGAAAGCGUAAUAGCUCACUAGUCGAGUCGGUCUGCGCGGAAGAUUUAACGGGGCUAAACAUAUCACCGAAGCUGCGGAUGCCUAUUUAUAGGCAUGGUAGAGGAGCGUUCUGUAAGCCGUCGAAGGGAAAGCUGUAAGGCAUCCUGGAGGUAUCAGAAGUGCGAAUGUUGACAUGAGUAACGAUAAGGGGGGUGAAAAACCUCCCCGCCGGAAGACCAAGGGUUCCUGUCCAACGUUAAUCGGGGCAGGGUGAGUCGACCCCUAAGGCGAGGCCGAAAGGCGUAGUCGAUGGGAAACGGGUUAAUAUUCCCGUACCCUUUAUUAUUGCGAUGGGAGGACGGAGAAGGCUAGGUGGGCCUGGCGAUGGUUGUCCAGGUUCAAGUGCGUAGGCGGGAGACUUAGGUAAAUCCGGGUUUCUAUUAACGCUGAGACACGAUGUCGAGUCACUACGGUGAUGAAGUCAUUGAUGCCAUGCUUCCAGGAAAAGUCUCUAAGCUUCAGAUAAUAAAGGAUCGUACCCCAAACCGACACAGGUGGUCAGGUAGAGAAUACCAAGGCGCUUGAGAGAACUCGGGUGAAGGAACUAGGCAAAAUGGUACCGUAACUUCGGGAGAAGGUACGCCGCUGACGGUGAUGUCCCUUGCGGAUUUAGCUAUUGGCGGCCGAAGAUACCAGAUGGCUGCAACUGUUUAUUAAAAACACAGCACUCUGCAAAAUCGUAAGAUGACGUAUAGGGUGUGACGCCUGCCCGGUGCCGGAAGGUUAAUUGAUGGGGUUAGACUUAGGUCGAAGCUCUUGAUCGAAGCCCCGGUAAACGGCGGCCGUAACUAUAACGGUCCUAAGGUAGCGAAAUUCCUUGUCGGGUAAGUUCCGACCUGCACGAAUGGCGUAAUGAUGGCCAUGCUGUCUCCACCCGAGACUCAGUGAAGUUGAAAUCGCAGUGAAGAUGCUGCGUACCCGCGGCUAGACGGAAAGACCCCGUGAACCUUUACUACAGCUUAGCAGUGAACUUAGAGCCUACAUGUGUAGGAUAGGUGGGAGGCUUUGAAGCGUUGUCGCCAGAUGACGUGGAGCCAACCUUGAAAUACCACCCUUGUAUGUUUUGAGUUCUAACCAUGGCCCCUGAAUCGGGGUUUGGGACACUGUUUGGUGGGUAGUUUGACUGGGGCGGUCUCCUCCCAAAGAGUAACGGAGGAGUACGAAGGUUGGCUAAUCACGGUCGGACAUCGUGAGGUUAGUACAAUGGUAUAAGCCAGCUUAACUGCGAGACAGACACGUCGAGCAGGUACGAAAGUAGGUCAUAGUGAUCCGGUGGUUCUGAAUGGAAGGGCCAUCGCUCAACGGAUAAAAGGUACUCCGGGGAUAACAGGCUGAUACCGCCCAAGAGUUCAUAUCGACGGCGGUGUUUGGCACCUCGAUGUCGGCUCAUCACAUCCUGGGGCUGAAGUCGGUCCCAAGGGUAUGGCUGUUCGCCAUUUAAAGUGGUACGCGAGCUGGGUUUAGAACGUCGUGAGACAGUUCGGUCCCUAUCUGCCGUGGGCGUUUGAGAAUUGAGAGGAGCUGCUCCUAGUACGAGAGGACCGGAGUGGACGAACCGCUGGUGUUCGGGUUGU
rnacentral:rRNA from 1 species